rnacentral:misc_RNA from 1 species
CCUUUUUUUUUUUUUUUUUUUGAACUGAGAAGUUCUCGAUUGCCUAUAAUUAGCACACUGUCCACUAUUUUCAGUGCUCUUUUGUAAUUGUGGAUAAUGAUCUACGAUGGACUGAUUGAAUGUUAGUUGGUACUCAAUUCAUCCAUGUCAUUUUCACAAAUUACGUGUCAUCAUGUUAUUGGGACCUGAAUUUCGGGAUUGUGACGUUUAUCCAGGUCCUUAUCUGUCUUCCCAUGAAAACCAAAUAGGUGCAACAAACAGCUGCAGCUGCUGUUGAUCAGCUCAGACUUCUAUAUAUCAGCAGCUAGUUUUCUCAGGCAAACGCAUCAGACAGCCGCCAGAUCUGGAAAAAAAAAAGUCCCCCCGGGUCAACAAUUCAACUUGUGUUGGUAUAAAACGCCAAUUCAUCUUCAUGGGCUCUCUGGAUAAAAGCUUGGAAGCUGAAGUCGUCACUGUUGAUGUUAAGGCAGCCAAGGUUUUUCUUGAGUCUGGCUACGUUUAUCUAGAUGUUAGGACGGUGGAAGAGUUCAAGAAAGGACAUGUGCAUGCAGAGAAGAUAUUCAACAUUCCUUACAUGUUCAACGCUCCAGAAGGUAGGGUGAAAAAUCCAAAAUUCUUGAAUGAGGUUUCAGCCGUUUGCAAGGAGGAAGAUCAUCUUGUUGUGGGCUGUCAAAGUGGAGUCAGAUCCCUAUAUGCAGCUGCUGAUCUUCUUAGUGCUGGUUUCAAGGAUGCGAGCAACAUGGGAGGAGGUUAUCUUGCUUGGGUGCAGAACGAGUUUCCCCUAAAGUGGUUAUCUGGUGUUCAUAUGAGAUGAUUCCCAAUUGAACGAUGAAAAGCAGAAGACAAAGGCACGUUGGUUCCUUCUCAACAUGCAUGACAUGGUAGUGGAGGUGUUGUAAUAGUGGGACCCAUCAUGCCCAUUUGUUUCAUAACACCCUCUGCUUGAUCUCUUAAAUACCCCAUGGAUUCAGUCUCCAUUCAAGGUGGCAACCAAACCCUCACCUGCUGGCAUUCGUGGCCCUGAAUUCCGAAAUGAGCUCUUCAUAAGAAGCAUUCGAAGAGAUUGAUGGGAUUUUUGGAAUUGAUGCUUCUAUAUUUGAAUGCCUGGAAGUUCAAGUGAAUCAGGAUCUGCCAGUUUCUGUUUAGGUAAUGGAUGAAGUAGAGAUUGAUGAAGACAAAUCUUUGGCCUUAACCCCGACAUGGGCUUUGGCUACAGUUAUCACUGUUAUGGUUUGUUUUGGGUUCUUCUGCCAAGCCUCUUUGAAUCAGUUUGGAAAGUGGUUGGAUAAGACUAAGAGGAAAGCACUACUUUCAGCUCUGGAAAAAAUCAAAGAUGAGUUAAUGCUUUUUGGGUUUCUGUCAUUACUGAUGGGUCACUGGGUCGUAUUGGUGGCCAAGAUUUGUGUCAAAACAUCUGCUUUGAGCAGCAGAUUUUUCCCAUGUGCAAUAUACAAAUUGGAAGGCAGGGUUGAUUCAGCUUCAAGUUAUUCAAAUAAUUCCUCUGAUAGACAGGAGAUGUACACCAUGGUGCAUGAACAUGAUCACUGCCCCGAGGGUCAUGAGUCUUUUGCUUCACAAGAAAGUCUGGAGCAGCUUCACCGUUUGAUGUUUGUUCUGGGCAUUAUCCAUGUUUUGUAUAGCUUUAUUGCCGUUGCCCUGGCCAUGAUUAAGAUUUAUAGCUGGAGAAUUUGGGAAAAACAAGCUAGGGAUAUGGCUACUCGGAAUGCACCUGGUUAUUCUCAAGCUGCAUUGUUUAAUAGAAGACUCUCACAAUUAUCUACUUUCAUCUCUCACCAUACAUCCCAUCCAUGGAGUCGGCACAGAGUGCUUGUUUGGCUGCUUUGUUUCAGCCGACAAUUCUGGAGUUCUAUAAACUACGCUGAUUACAUGGCUUUGCGCUAUGGAUUUAUCACUGUAGGUUCUUUCCAAAUCCACUAGAGUUUUUCUUAUAUAUUUUGAUCAAGAAUAAUUGAUAAGCUUAUUAUAUUAUCUUUUCCACUUAAUCUGCACAUUAACUCACAGUGGAGGGCAGGGCUUGAAUAGCCAGGGAAUCAUGUAUGUGACAAACUCAACAUCUUGUUGGGUGCAAAGGAAGUGUUUCAUAGUAGUAGAAGAAGGAGCUUGUUUUUGCUUCUGAGAUCUUAUUGAUGCAAAAUGAUCGCAUCUUUAAAAGAAUAAAAUCAUAAUAGAACUUCUCAUCUAUCUAUUUAGCAGCUGGAAUAUGGCUGAGCAUGCUUUGCUUAGUAAUUGACUCAAAUUUGUCUUUAAUUUCUUUUCCUAUUUGCAGACACAUGAACUUCCUUUGGCAUAUGAUUUUCAUAGUUAUAUGCUUCGAAGCAUGGAGGAAGAAUUUCGUGAUAUUGUUGGCAUUAGCUUGCCUCUCUGGAUCUAUGCUAUAUGUUGCAUUUUCCUGGAUUUCCAUGAGACUGAGGUUUACUUUUGGCUCUCCUUUCUUCCUGCCAUUGUAAGUCCUCAAACACGUCUCCUUUGAUUUUUAUUUUUUCAUGUAUUUGAUAAUUCUAUAUUGAUAUGCUUCUGUUUUCUUGGAAAUAAAAGUUAAUACUGCUAAUUGGUACAAAACUUCACCGGGUAGUCGUCAAGUUGGCUGUUGAAAUCUUGGAUGCAGCUACAAGGUUAGGAAAUCAUCAGCUGAACCUUAGGGAUAAGCUAUUUUGGUUUGGGAAGCCUAAACUUCUUUUGUGGCUAAUUCAAUUAAUAUCAUUUCAGAAUGCAUUUGAGAUGGCAACAUUCAUAUGGUCCCUGGUAAGAUUUUGAUGAUCGUUGUAGCAUAACUGCAAAUUAAAUAUCAAUAAAUAAUAUGUAACAUAAGCAUUAGGCAACGUCUUUGAGGAAUUGAAGCUCAAAAGCUCAAAUCUACACUUCCACCACGCCACAUCAGCCUUUGUCUGUGAAAGAGAUUUUAACCAUCCUAAUUUUCAGAAUGUUCUGAUAUUUUAUGACAUGUAAAUUGACCAUAAUCGCGGGAAAGGUUAUUAUUUUGUGCUUCAUAAGUCCAUUCUUCAUAUUUGAUAGAUAUAUAGCCUGCAUUUCAGAUUUUGUUUUGCUAGAUGUUAUUUUUCAUUUGCAGUGGGAGAUCAGAGAUUCUUCUUGUUUCAUGAGUAAUGAACUGUUUGCUAUAAUCCGUUUGAUAUUCGGGGUAGUCACGCAGUUCUGGUGCAGCUUCAUCACAUUCCCACUCUAACUAAUCAUUACACAGAUGGAUGCUAGGUUCAAGAAAACUGUAAUCUCUGAAAAUGUAAGGCAAUCUCUAUAUGGAUGGAAACGGAGAGUGAAGACCAGGCAUGGUUCCUCUUCUUCAAACCUGAAAGGCAUAUUUUUUAGGCCCUCACAUAAUUCCACUUCUGCACACCUGAAAGGUUUAUUAUUCAAGUCCUCAAGUCCUAUGAUGCAUAAUCGAAAAAACAAUGAUUCUGCCUCGAGCAGCAAGCAAGGAAACAUGUCAGUUCCAGAUACACCAACCUCAUGUCAAGAGGCCUCUACCCCACAAGCUAAUAGUAGUAAAAAUUUUCCUGGGAAUGAGAUGCUUGAGCUUCCACUUUGUUCUUAUAGUCGCUAUGACUAUACUAGUAGUGACGAUGAUAAUAAUAAUGAUAAUGAUCCCAGAAAUGAUGUUAAAAGGUGAUAAAAGCCUCAUUUGACAGCCUUGAAUUCCUGGUUUAAGUUUCUUAUUCUUUUCCCACUUUUUCUAAAAAAGAAAGAUGGAUAUAGCUAAAAGUUUUGUGGAGCGCAUUGGCAUGAGAUCAGCCGAGCAUGUAUAGUUAGGACGAAGGAAAUGAUCUUUCGUUUCAAUAGGCUGUUUCUCCAGGGAUGAACUUGUUAUGCAGAAAUGAUGGUUAAUUUGGACAGUUGGGAGGUUUUGAUAGAAGAUGUUUAUUCAAAUUACUUCACUUUGUAGAUCAGACACGGG